CCUCCCUAUGAGAGCAGUCAAUAAAGCGGUCUCUGAAGAUAAGGCCUUCGAUGGCCUUGCAUUUUCUCCUGGACAUGGGCUGUAUGCUAUAAGACAGAGUAGAGUCUAAGAAAAAAAAGCUGCCUCUAUUUUUAUAACCAAAAGCUUGGGAUAUGCUGGGCUGGCAAAGAUACAACAAAACCAUUCUGACAACCGAAAACAGGAUGCAGAUUUGCAGGAAGGACCCCAGAACACAUCGAAUCUUCGGGUAAGCUUCGAUUCGGAGCGACAGAGGCCAUUCAGUGUCUGGCAGAAGUUCGACUCAGAGGACCAUAUCUUAGAGGAAGCCAGAGAUGGAGAAAGAAGCAGCAAACCGUAAUCCAUCGACCUCCCAAAUCCUUAUCCAGUCCUUGGUCAGGGGUGAGGUGGUGUCACGCCCUGACCAGGGAAGCAGAGGAUCAAGGAAAAUGCGGGGUUUAAUGGGAGCGAACAUGAAGGAACAGGCAACAAAGCAGAUUGACAUCACAAUGACCGGACUGGGGAAACAAACGGAAACGCAGACUAAAUACCAUGGACUAAUGACAAUGAUCAGGAACAGCUGGUAAACACGGGGAAUCCACACAGGGUUAAUGAGGGGGUGUGGCAAACGGAGGGAGCGGACGAUUGGGGCAUGACAGGUGGAUUGGAACCGAUCACAGGCAGCACAGGGCAGAGGAACACCCACAAUAAGAUGCCACUACAACAUGCAGCAGGCCUUAUAGGCAAUUUACAUCACUGGAUGUUUUAGGAUUAUGGGAGGAAAUCUGCACGAUACAGGAAGAACUUGCAAGCUUCUCACACUCACAGCAGAUGUGGAUUUGGAACCCCCAGCCCCCGUGGGGUGAGGCAACAUCCCAGAACCACAAUACCCCCCCCCCCCCAUAGCAGA